GCAUCCGCUAGCAAGGGACGUGCCCUAAUUGAGUGAUUGGAAUGAAGCACGAAUACAAUUUGAAUAAUUUCCCCCUGUACAGAAAAAAAAGCAGCUGUAUUUUUUUUCUCCUUGCCUAUGGAUGUGUCCCCAGGAUGUAGUAGGAUGCUGCUACAUGGUAGAGUUACAUAAAGCUAUGCUGUACAAGGAAGUUCCUUCUUCAGGCAACUUCCUGAAGAUGGAUAGAGUUCUAGGAUGUUUGCAGUUCAUUCAUUCCUUAAGCAUCAUAGCAAGAAGCAAGAUUGAGAGGCAAAAUAAUGUCUAAAGAAAGACAGACAAACCUCGAGGUCCAAAUCUAAGGAACCUCUUUGCCGGAGCAAAAGACACAUGCGUCAGAAACGCUGAUGCAAUGAGACGCUAAUAUCGGAUUGCAUCAUAUGAUCCUAGGUGUGGUGCUCCGAAAACUGGUUUUUCUUGAGGUUGUGUGGCAGCAGAAAAGCACUUUGGGGCUAACACCCGAGAACUGGCCCUGCUCAUCAGAUGCCUGCUCCAGGCCUCAGUUCCACACACCGAUCCAGGGACAGCCGGAGCGGCCUGCCUGGCUGAAACAGGCGCUGCAGACACUCCUCAGUGAGGCGUGCCACGCUGCCGCUUAUGUAACAAAUGUUACCUGGGGAGGUGCACCUCCCAGGCAAACUGGAAGUCACACUUCCUCCUCCCAAAUCUCACUUUAAUCGAGCAACUUCUCCGGGGACAGAUCAGUUUGGUGCAAAACCGGAAGGGGAGGAGGGGAAGAAGGUGGGGGAGACUUCUCGGGCACCUCCCAGGUGGCUGGCUCGGGAUCAUAAGCAGGCCACAUGCAGAACUGUGGAAAUGUGGGUUCCACCUGCCAGCCGGCCAUCACCGGUCCCCGAAGCAGGCUACUCAGCUUUUUCUGGUGUUCAAAGUCAUGUAUCUAAUGAGAUUAGGCUACUUUGAAGGUCCCUCCCAGAAAUGGAAUGCUAUUCAACUUGGCCAAAGGAAGCUCCACCUCCGGUUGGAAGAUUAAUUUUCUGGUCCAGUGUCUGUGAAAAAAUGAUCACUUAUCGCGGGAAUGAUGCUACCGACCAAAGGAAAAUUGGUCCUAAUGGUCUGUGUUGGUACAAUUGGGUAGGAUGAGACAACUUUGAUCUUUACCCGUCCAGCGUGGCUCUGAACAUCCUGGAAAUGUGGCCAGUGCCACUCGAGAUGUUCACCGGGAGUGUACUUACACCGAAUUUCAAAAUCUUAGCACGGUAAAAAAGGACGGGAAAGAUCUCACAAAUAACUUACUAUCUUGAUCACAUGUGAAAAUAAUAUUUGACUUAGGAGUUUAAUGUAGUACUAAAAUGAAUAUCAGCUGUUUCUUUUUACUCUGUUCGGUGUGGCUACCAUAAAAUUUGAAAUUACAUAUUUCAAAUUUUGUGGUUAUUUCUAUGAGACAGCACUACUUUUUAAAAAAAAAAGUUUUUAUUGAUUUCAGAGAGAGAA